rnacentral:rRNA from 1 species
UACGUAGGGGGCCAGCGUUGUCCGGAUUCAUUGGGCGUAAAGCGCGUGUAGGCGGCCAGGUAGGUCCGAUGUGAAAUCUGGAGGCUCAACCUCCAGCGGUCAUUGGAAACCAUCUGGCUAGAGUCCGGAAGAGGAGAGUGGAAUUCCUGGUGUAGCGGUGAAAUGCGCAGAUAUCAGGAAGAACACCAAUGGCGAAGGCAGCUCGCUGGGACGGUACUGACGCUGAGACGCGAAAGCGUGGGGAGCGAACAGG